rnacentral:ribozyme from 1 species
CAGCAGAAAUAUCACCAAGAGUAUCAGGAUAGAGAGCAGAUGGUGGCUUAGAGACUAGUAGCUAGCGUGUAUUCAAUGUUUUGCCUUUUAAUUUUUUGUUUUUUUUGUUUUCAUAUAUAUAUUAUAUAUACUAUUUUUUUGCUGUCGGUAUAUAUCAUUCUCAGUCAUA